UAAAAGCAUUUGUUAAAUGCCCAGAGCUUCAGAGAGAUGGGCUGGGCUUUGAGCUGCAUGAAGUUAGUCGAAACAUGCCAAGGCCCUUCCUCCAGGACCUUGAACCCUCCAGGAGCUACGUGGUUGAUGGGUAGGGGGCAGGGACAUUCCCUCACUGCAGGGGAGCAAUUAUAACUGCCAGAGGGUGAUGUUGCAGCUUUGGAGUGCCUGGCUUUCCUCAUUCUACUCUAGUCCCUGCUGGUCAAUUGUCCUUUUCAAGGCUGCAUGGCCAGCUACAUGCUCAAGGUAGCCUCAGUAUGAGCUAGAAAGGAAUGGGACUAUCACCAUCCAUCUGCAAGAAGGCAGAGUGUUUUCAGAGAGCAAAGGGGACUUUGGUGAUGAGUCAUGCCUUACCCAAGGGUAAAUAUCUGAGUGGAAUGGUUGGAUCAUGGGCGCAGACAAAAUGUGCCAUGAGUGAUGGCCUUGGGUGAUCUACAGACAUCCCUGGCUCUAGCAGUCAUUUGUGUGGGGAGAUAUUUCCACUGGUAACAGAAUUUCCCUGGAAGUCAGUGUUUGGAGUUAAAAGAUCAAUUUGUGACCCAAAAAUAUAAAUGGUCCACUUUUUUUCCUGUUUGUGAUGAAUAAAAGGCAAAAGUAAAAAGAAAAAGAAACCUGAUAUUACUUCACUCCUGAAAUAUUGUGCCACGAUUUUCCGAAGGUAAGUAGCAGGCUCUGUAUCUUGAGAACUUAACGAAGUUAAACAGCAGUCCUCACUCUGGGCACAGAAGUCACAGCUUACAGUGCUGGAACGAGGCCCGAGAUGAUGUCAUCCUGGGCAGAGACCUUAUCCAUAACCCCACAGUGCCUUUGUAUUAGGCAGUGAUGUCUCUGUCACCAGGAACUUCACUGAGCCUUCCUGAAGCUCUCAAGCAUGUCACAGAAAUAUUGUCUAUCUCAAAAUUUGCCCUAGAAAGGAGUUAGGAAGUUUUCCUUUUUAAAAGUUUAUGUCUUGAGUCCUGUGGGGAUUCAUUCCGAUCCCAGAAUUGGCAUAAAGAUUUUUAAAGUGAGAACAUUUGAGCUAAAGAAGAUACAGAAAGAAAUCUUAUCUCAACUUCACUUACCUGACUAAAGCAAGGCCUCCAGAAAAUAGAGCUGCCAUUAACCCCCAUCUGAGGGAGUUUCUGGAAUUCACUCACCGGAGAGACAGAAUGCCCAUUGGCAUUAGCAUCAAAAACCUCAACAGAAUCUUCCAUACCUUCUCACUGAAGCCCUAAACCCUCUCCUCUUUGUUAAGUUUGGUAUAUGAAUCCUUUAAUUUCAGGCUAUUGAGUGAGUUCUUAUCUCUGAGAACUCCUGUGUAUGUGUAAAUCACCUGUCUUUUCUCCUGUUAAUCUGUCUAUUGUGAGUUAAUUUAUGGGCCUCCAACCACUGGAACUAAAUUGGAUGAGGUUUCUCCCAACAGUUUUGGUGACCAGGAUGGGAUGGUUGGAACUCUCUGCUCCUUCAGAAACUGCCGCUAAGAUUUCAGGAUCUCUGAAUAUGCUGACAAACAUAAAUUUCUUAGCAGCCAGAUUACAAGAUCUCUGUUCAGAAUCCAGUCUAGUGAGGGUGAUAAGAGCACCUUUCUGUCUUUUCUUUCCAAAAUUUAGAUCAGCAGGAGAAAACACUAGGAACUUAUUUUUACUGUAUUGUGACUUGGUUUGAAUACUUUUAAAAAUAGAUCUUUUCCUUCACAGGGACAGCUAUUGUGUCCUUUCUGUCUCAUUUUCUGUCCUGAUAGUUUGGCUUGAAUUGAGUCAGAGAGUUCACUCUCUGGCUUUCCACAUGCUGUGAGGUGCAGAUUGUCCGGCCUGUGCACAGCAGCAGCCAAUUGUCAGGCUGGGGCUCAAGGAUUUGUGGUUGGCUGGAGAGAAAUUUGGGUAUCCUGGGCAUCCCAUUUUCAUCUGGAAUCGUGCUGACCGUUCCAAUUCUGAGGGGUUUGUCUAAGUGUAAAUAAAGGGUCUCAGCCCAUAAAAUCCCUUAUUUUCUCUUUCCUGUUGUCUUGCUGGUGGAGAGAAGUCCCAUUUCAGUAUCAUGGAUUCGUAGUUUCCAUGUUAUGGCCAACUGGAGGCAGGAGUUUUCACAAAUACCAUUUUUACUGCCUAUAGAAAUGGUGAUCUUUGCUUUCGUUCUCUUUGGCUGUCUUUGGAAAUGAUUUUGGGAUCAUGGGAGCAGCAUCUGUACCCUCUAUGGGGGUUUUUCUUGUGUCCAUGAUUAAGACAUAAAAUAGGUUUAUUCAUUCUGAGUCACAUUUUGGAAAAAGUAUACCUUUGGAGAUGCUAAAUCAUCAAUGGCCAGACAGCAGAUCCUUUGAUUUGAAACAACUUUUAUAUUUGAGAGGAUUUUCAGAAAGCUCUCAUCCUACACAAAUGUCCUAUUACCAGUAUGGGAGGAUCAGUAUGAAAGGACAUUAAAAAUAAAAGUUUCACAGCUAGCCUAAAAGACUCCCUCAGCAAAACUAAAGAACAGAAAUCAGAUCUAGAACAAAAAUUGAAAUUUACACUCAGCAUAAACUCUCCCCCUCCCCUGCACCAUCACCUUCCUCCUGCAAAUGGCCCAAUCGGAGGCUAAUAUUUAGGGCCCGUUGGGAAUCGUCUUCCCUCCCGCUCUGAAGGUUAACUGGGCUAAAGUGGAGCAAUGUACUCAGAGGAAAGGCAUACAUCCUGAAGUCUUUGUUGAAUGACUUAUAAAAACAUUCCGAAGACACAGAGCUCUAAAUCCAGAGUUCUGGAUCAUUGAAAAUGUCUUGGUUUCCACCUUAGCUGGAAAUCUUAUCUCCAAUAUAAAGAAACAAAUUAAAAAUACUAUAGUUGGAUAGGCAGGCCAGUUUCUUAAUGCUAUUCUUGAGGUGAUCUGCUCUGCUAUUGUAUGAAUGUUUGUUCCUUCCACAACUCAUGUUGAAAUGUAACUGCCAUUGUAACAGUAUUAAGAGUUAGGACCUUUAAGAGAUGAUUAGGCCCUUAUGGGUGGUAUUGGUUCCCUUAUAAAAGCAUGAGUAUGACUCCCUCUUGUCCUCUCUCUUACUUUCCUACCUUCCACCAUGGGACAAUGCAGCAAGAAGGUCAUUGUCAGAUGCCAGCAGCUUGACGUUGGACUUCCCAGCCUUCAGAACUGUGUGACAGUACCUUUCUGUUCAUUAUUAAUUACUCAGUCAUAAAACCACCUUUGUAAAAUUAUAACAGUGAGAAAAUUGUGAUGGUGAAAGAGGUCUGACCUAACUGAUUCUAUUUUGCCUUUAACUUCCAAACUACCCUUGUUCAUUCCUGGACAUAGACCAAGCUAACUAUAGGAUGAAUUUAGUUUGUAGGUUAACUUUGAAACAAAGAUGAUAACAGCUCUUUCCUGAAACAAAUCUUCUUGCCUAGGAAGGAGAUAACCUUCUUAAAACUAACAAAUUAGCCAUGAGAUUCUAAAUUAUGGUUCAGGAUAGGAUGCAGCCAAGAUUCCUAACCUCCCCAAUUGCUCUUAUGCUCUUAUUGUAAAACUUAAGAUUAGUAUUCCAGAUAUCUUUCAGACCCUGCAUUCUGAUGGACCAGCUGGUGCCACCCAGACUGGUAAUCUGGCUCAACCAGUUUUGUGAUCCCACCCAGAAACAGAAGACAGCAAGAAGAACCCACUUGGAUCCUCCUGUGAUUUCAUAUCUGACCAACCAAUCAGCACUCCCCACUCACUAGUCCCUAACUCGUCAAAUUAUCCUUAAAAAAAGGCAGGUGGAUCAUGAGGUCAAGAGAUCGAGACCAUCCUGGUCAACAUGGUGAAACCCCGUCUCUACUAAAAAUAUAAAAAAUUAGCUGGGCAUGGUGGUGCGUGCCUGUAAUCCCAGCUACUCAGGAGGCUGAGGCAGGAGAAUUGCCUGAACCCAGGAGGCAGAAGUUGCCGUGAGCCGAGAUCGCACCAUUGCACUCCAGCCUGGGUAACAAGAGCGAAACUCCAUCUCAAAAAAAACAAAAAAACAAAAAAAAAAACCCUAGUCUCUGAAUUUUUGGGGAGAUUGAUCUGGGUAAUAAAACUCAGGUUUCCCAUUUAGUUGGCUCUGUGUGCAUUAAACUCUUUUUCCUUUGUAAUUCCCCUGUUUUGAUAAAUCAGCUCUAUCUGAGCACCAGGCAAGAAGAACCCACUGGACAGUUACAGUCUUGAAUAUUCUGUUAUAGCAACACAGAAUAGACUAAGAUGUUCACCCUUAAUUCUUUGAAGAAUUGCAAAUACUAUCCUCAUCGUACGAAUCAAGUCUUUACAAAGAUGGUAACAGGGCUCUAAAGAUAAUCCAAAGCCCACCUAUAUUUCUUAUGAAUCCAAAGCCUCUCCUGUUUAUCUCAAGAUGCUUGCUGAUACUUUAAAGAAGUCAGGACAUUAGGAAAGGGAAGAAUUAUCAAAUGAGAAGGUAUACUGAAGCUCCCUAUAUUAGAUUUGUAUGCGUAAAUGCUAUGAACAUAAGUACUUCAGAAAGUAUACGAGUUAAAACCCUCAUUGUCCAUAGGUCCUAAUACAAUGUUAGGAGUCAUAAUUCUAGUUAUCAUAAAUGUUUUAUGUCAUCAAAACAAUGAAAUUUCCUUGUUAAUUGCAUUAUUUUUAUAAUAAAUUCUCAUCCAAGUUUUAGCCAUUGCCAUUUUAAGUCUUUUUUCUUUUUCUUUUCCCUUUUUGUAAAAUUAUAUAUAUUUUAUUGCACUUUCAGUUCUGGGGUACAUGUGAAGAACAUGCAGGAUUGUUGCAUAGGUACAUACAUGGCAAUGCGGUUUGCUGCCAUCAUCCCCAUCACCUAUAUCUGGCAUUUCUUCUCAUGUUAUCCCUCCCCAACUCCCUACCCACCACUAUCCCUCCCAUAGUCCCCUCCAACAGAUCCCAGUGUGUGAUGUUCCCCUCCCUGUGUCUAUGUGUUCUCAUUGUUCAACCCCCACCUAUGAGUGAGAACACGCAGUGUUUGAUUUUCUGUUCUUGUGUCAGUUUGCUGAGAAUGAUGGUGUCCAGGUUCAUCCAUGUCCCUACGAAGGACAUGAACUCGUCAUUUUUUAUGGCUACAUAGUAUUCCAUGGUGUAUAUGUGCCACAUUUCCCUGUUCAGUCUGUCAUCGAUGGGCAUUUGGGUUGGUUCCAAGUCUUUGCUAUUAUAAACAGUGCUGCAAUGAACAUAUGUGUGCAUGUGUCUUUAUAAUAGAACGACUUAUAAUCCUUUGGAUAUAUACCCAGUAAUGGGAUUGCUGGGUGCCAUUUUAAGUCUUUUUUCAUUCCCAGGGAGUUAUUGUUUUAUUCUGAUGCUUUCCUGAAAGCUCUUACAAUCAGCUAUAAGACAGAGUGCAUCAUCUUCAGCAAAAGAUGAUGAAGCAAAGGAUUAUCUCAGCAUUUCAGAGACCCAUAAAAAUGACUGGUUAUCCAAGGUAAAGGCUUCUGAUGGCUCUGCCUGAAUGACUUUAAGAUCAUACCACUGGACUGAGUAAGCAUUUCCAGAAUUCUAGUGGAGAGGCUGAUGGGUUCAUAAAACUGCUAACUCAAGAUUGAGCAGAACAAAAAUAAAUUACCUAGGACUGAAUGAACUGAUGAAAAUUGAUUAUAAUUUUUAUGGGUUUUAUUUUUGUUUGGAACAUUGCUGGUUCUUUAGUAUUCCAUUUUCUGGAUAUAAGGAAUCCUUUUGUCUUUUCUCUUAACCUAUUUAUAAUUAACGACAAUUUAGUAGAUUAUAUCUUAUAAACAAGAAUGACACAUUUAUCUUUUUCUCCUUAUCAAAUCCCUACAGAAUUCAGAAACUCAUACUGAAUUUUCUUUUUUUAUGACAAUACAGUUUUUUGCAUAAGUUCCAUAAGUAUCUAUUCUCCUUGUAACAGGACAUAAUUGAGGAAAUUAGUUAUAUCACCAAGGCUUUAACUGAAAUGUCACAUUUGAGAAUGAUAUGCAUAGAAACAGACAUGACCAGGCUUUUUUUUGUGAAACACAGUCUCACUCUGUCACCAGGCGCCAGGCUGGGGUGCAGUGACACAAUCUCGGCUCACUGCAACCUCUGCCUUCCAGGUUCAAGCAAUUCUCCUGCCUCAGCCUCCCGAGUAGCUGGGACUACAGGCACAUGCCACCACACCCAGCUAAUUUUUGUAUUUUUAGUAGAGAUGGGGUUUCACCAUGUUGGUCAGGAUGGUCUCGAUUUCUUGACCUCUUGAUCCGCCUGCCUCGGCCUCCCAAAGUGCUGGGAUUACAGGCUUGACCCACCGUGCCCAGCCAUGACCAGGCAGUUUUAAGGAGCUAAGGUUGGCUUUAUAGAGCCAGUGUUCACAAAGCCCUCUUAGCAGAACUGGCCUUCUACUGGCUUACACUGUCUCCAGCCUCACAGAUGAGUAAUGAAGGUCACUUCCUAGCAGGCUCGGGAGCUUCAGAAUGUUUUAGACACCUCAAGAGAAGAGGAAUUCACCCUGAUCUAUAGGUACUGCAGAUAAAGUUCUAAUGACAAGUUCUGGGCUCAGCUUCCUGGCCAAUAAAGGCUUUUAAAAGUCCAAUCUGAGAUUCCUCAUAAAAGUUCCAGCAAAGCAAACUUUAAAAGGCCCGUGAGGUCAAUUACCAUUCUUGCUUCAUUUAUUAAAUAAUCGGGACAUAUUUAAUGAGGCUAGGCUUAUUUUGUAAAUAAGAAAAAUCUUACUUUAUCUUUGAUAAAAAUGGAGGUGACUGUGGAGAGAAAUUUUAUGUUUCAGUGGAAAAUUAUAGCCCCUUGUGGGUUAUCAGAUUCUAGUUCUGUUCAUUGUCUUUGAGCUAUUUUUCAUCUCUUGUAAACUGGAUUCUGCCAUCUUGCACAUUUUGUCAAUUAUUAAUACUUUCCUUUUCCCCCCAUUCUCCUGACUUGUUAUCACUGAGAACUUAGCACUGCCUGUUUCCUGAAGCUCUGGGUGCUGAAGCUGGACCACUUGAUAUAACUUCGAAAGACGGAUCACCACCACAACAGUGUGGGGCACCCAGAAAGUUUACCAGAGCGUGUGCAUCUUCCAUGCCCUGCUCCAGCAAACAACUAUUAUUGUGACGUUCUCACUACCACCUUCACUAAAGAGGCUUCAGACUCAACAUCUAGAAACCUGGACUGGACUGGACUAGCUGCCUUCUAUGCUCACAAAUUGAUUCCAUUCAGUUCCAACCUUUAAUCUUUGUUCUUUCUGUCCCUUUGCAGAUUUCUUACCUCACUAUUUCGAACAUAAAUCACUCUCCACAGCAAUAAAACUAGCUUUUUUUUUCUUUUUUUUGGUGAAAUGUCCAGAAUAGUUUCAGAUGAAGGACAUGUGGGUGUCCACUUGGACCCCUAGAUGUGAUAUAAAGGGACCUUUUAAAUGAAAAUGUUGGAGCUAAAGAAGAUUCGGAAAUAAAUCUUAUCUGAAAUUCUCUUAUCUGAUUAAGUUAGAGCCUCCAGAAAAUACAGCUGCCACUAACCCUCCUCCUAGGAAGUUUCCUACAAAUUCAACUGCCGUGGAGAUAGACUGUCCAUUUCCACUAGUAUCAAAAAGUCCAGCAGAACCUUCCAUACUUUCCCUAACCACUCCCCCUACUUCUUGGUUAAAUUUGGUAUAUAACCUUUUUUCCUCUGGCUGAUAGAUGAGUUACUUAUCACUGAGUAUUCCUGCCUGUAACCAUAAAUAAAUCAGGUCUUUUUUCCUCUUUUUUUUUCAGGGUCUCGCUUUUGUCACCCAAGCUGGAAUGCAGUGGCACAAUCUUGGCUCACUGCAACUUCUGCCUCCGGGUUCAAGCUAUUCUCCUGCCUCAGCCUCUUGAGUAGCUAGGAUUACAGGUGUGAGGCAACACUCCCGGCUAAUUUUUUGUAUUUUUAGUAGCGAUGGGGUUUCACUGUGUUGGCCAGGUUGCUCUCGAACUCCUGACCUCAGGUGAUCCAUCUGCCUCACCCUCCUGAAGUGCUGGGAUUAUAGGUGUGAACCACCGUGCCAGCCAUUUUUUCUCCUCCUUAAUCUAUCAUCACUUAAUCUGUAAACCCCCAACCACUGGAUUCAAGUUGUAAGAAGAAAAAUCUUCCUCCCAAUAGUCUCCUCCUGCUGACUGUCAGCAGCACUCACUGUCGUGACUACCAAAUUAUCUAUUCCUGUAUGUGUGUGUGCACACACGCAUGCCUGUAUUUACAGAGACCUGGCAGCGCAGUGGGUCGUGACUGAAUGCCUUUAGGAAUUUCCUUGGGGAAUCAAAGCUUAUUAAAGUAGAAACACUUCCCAGAAGAUCAGAAAUCUAUCUUCAAACCAAGCUUGUUCCCCCGCUUAUUGCAUCAGCAGACCAGGCAGCUUAAAAUAAAUAAUCUAUUCAAAGCGAACCAAUUACAAAACUCACCUUUCAACUCUUAGUUUUGGGAAAUGACUGGAAGGACUCCUUCAAUAGUAACUUGACCAUGCUGUCGCCCUGAUGACAUUGUCUUGGAAUGCUGGUAAACUUCUUUUAGUAUACACUUCAGGGAGAAGACAGUUGUCUAAAUUAGUGACAAUCCUUGACAGUUGUGAGAUUUGGUGUCUGGUGGACAGGAGGAAUCCUCCCCUAACUCAGUCUCUUUUUAGUUUUGUGAUCUUGAGCAAUCCUUUAGCUUUUUUGAGGCUGCCUCAGUUUUCUCAUUUGCAAGGUGGGAGAAAUAACAUUUAACUUGAAAGAUUUGUGGGGAAGAUAAGAUGAGAUCAAUGUAUGCACUAGUGCUUUUCUUUCUGACUUCUCUUUAAAGUGCUUUUGAAAUUAUUUGGGCCACAAAAUUAUUAAUAAUACUUAUAGGCAGCAAAUGAAACAGCUGUUCCACCAUUAUAAUACAUACUAUUCUCCAGUUACUUGAUAUUCUUUUCCUAUUUUCCUGCUCCCCUUAUUCUGGGAAAAAGAUUGUAUACACUUUAUGUGGACAGCAAACACAGCUUCUCCUAUGAAAACCAAAUAAAAAGGAAAAGCAGAAUAUAAAGUUUAUUUCCAGCCAAUUUCUAAAUUUUAAAAACCUUCCCUCUUUGGUUUCAUGGAGCUUUCCUAGCAUUUCCUUUAGCUUGUGUCUGAUAUGGAGUCUGGAUCCCUUUCUCUGUCUUUUUCUUGCAUGUAUAAAUCUCAUGAUAGCUGGCUCUACCACCAUGACCUGAGCCACCCUGAGUCUGGACUGACUGCAUCGGGCAGUAAACAGGCCAAGAUCUUUCUGGUCAGAGCUUGGCAGCACGAAUCGAGGAAGAUGCCAACAUUGUUGCCAAAUGGAUAGCUCAUAUUUUCCAUCUUUGUCUUUGUGGAUGCCAGUCAUGUGCUCCCUGUGGUGCCCAAAUUGUGCAACAGACGCUGGAGGCCAUGAGCCAGCACAAGGGCCUAGGAUGGGGUUAGGCCUUCGUAAUGGGCAUAGUCCUGGGUUGGGCCAGGACUAUGGAUAUAUGCUCAGCCUGAAUAAUCAGCUAUGGUGGGCUAGACAAAGGCUUGGUUCGGUACAUAAAAUCAGAAGCAAAGUCUAAGAGUGGCCCUACGAAAAGCAAAAUGGGAUGGGCCAGAGGGGGCACUCGGGCUGGCGCUGAUUGUUGAGGUGGGUAUGGCCAUCAGGCUGACAGAGGGUUCCAUUUGCUGAAGCAUGGCUUAGAGUCUCUCAGCAGCUCCACUUUAAGAAAAUCAAUCUACCUCUUCUCUUAGACCUGGUGUGUGCUGGGCCAGGGCAUGGAAAGGGGGUUACAGGUUCCACUGGAACAAAAGCUGAGUAUUCUUUGGAUCCCGGCCACUGAGUCUGGGUAAGCAGUGCUGUCUCCUGAGCUGAACUCUCAGGAAAAUCCAGAUUUCUGUUCAUUCAUAGGCUUGGAGAAAGGUCUCUAUCACGUAAUAUCUAAGAAUGUCGAUAUGAGAAAAUCAGUGAUUUAGGAAAAGUGUUCUUCAAUUUAUAUCUGUAUCCAUGUGAGAGAGAGAUCUCUGGUGACUUUUAGGAAACACAUCACUGAACUGGCAUCACUCUCUAAGAAAUGUAUCUACUGUACUGAACACUUGCCUGUUUACAAGCACUUGUACCCACAAUGCCCCAAAAGUGAUGAAAAUAUCCAUCAAUAAGGAGUAUUUGCUUCAGAAGCACAUACAGUAAAACUACAAUACUGAGAAGAUUAGCGUGGGCCCUGUGCAGGGAUGACAUGAAGAAGAAUAAAAAGGAGGAGGAUAAAGAGGAGGAAGAGGAGGAGAUAAAGAAGGGGAAGGAGAAGGAGAAGGAGGAGAAAGAAAAGGAGGAGGAGAAGGAGAAGAAGAGGAGGAGGAGAAAGAAACAGAACUAAUAAUAGGUAUCACUGUCCUUGAGUAUAUCAACAAUUGUAGAAACCCUUUGACAUCCCUAAAUCAAUUUAUUAGCCCCAGAUCUGAUGCUUCUCUUGCCCUGUGGUUGGUCCCUCAACCUGGUUUGUGGCUUACAGAGCCCUAGGGAUGGCAUGUAUUAGGCUAGUGGGAGGAGAGCAGGUGAAUGAUGGGGAGGCCUACCAUGAGAUCUUCAGCCCUAUGUUGAAGGGUGCGUGUCUCUCGGGAACCCUCCACAUCUUUCAGAACUCUUUCCAGAAUUUAUUCUGCAACUCUUCUGAGUCUCCUAAGCAUCCCUGGGAAGGACGUUUCUGGUCUAGGUAGCAGGUGAGAUCCUUCCUUUGCUGUAGAGAUAUGAGGUCAGGAAGCUUCUGUGACCUCUUUGGUAGUAAUGUCCACACAGAGAGUAAAACGAGGAUGUUGGAUUGCAAGAGUCAGGGCUUGGAUGUCCUGGAAAAGUGCCGCAUCUUUCUUGAGAGUUGCCUUCUGUUCUGACACUGAGGUGGCCUUCACAGGCCCCAGACUCUGUGGCUUAGCCAUGUCCAAAGUGUCAUUGUAGAGGGAGAGGCAGCCUUCCUGAGUGACUACAUUUUAGUUCCUGAAGGCUGCCAGGCCCCCUGGGCUUUCUCUUGCUUAACUUUCCUGAGACUUUAGGACACAUAUAUACUAAUUACAUAAAUUAAAAGUCUGCAUGUAAUGGUCUCUUAAUGGGCAAAUAAAUCUCAGUCCCAGAAUGGAAAAAUAUUGCCCUAUAGUACAUCUGAAAAAACACACAAGCAAACCUUAGACUAAAACACCCUUGGCUUCUUCAAACUUUGUCUAUAAACAAGAGACCAUACAAUUCUCAGUAGAAGUGUCCUGUGCACAUCAAAGCAAGACGUAGGUGCUUAAAGCUGGCCGUAGGUACUGGAAUACCUUCUGAAUGCGAGGUUAUGUGCAAUGUAGGGGGAGGGGAAAUGUCGACUACCUCUGGCCCAGGUGAAAAUGACCUCAUCUAUCUGCAUCAUCUCCACCCACAAAGUGCUUCUUAGACUGAAUUAUCCAGGUGAUUGCUUUCUCUCUCCACCAUGUGUUCCACAUGUAAAAUUAUCUUUACUUAAACACUGGGCUUUUUUGGGUUCUUAAAAAUGGAACCCAAGCUCUUACAGCAUCUUACAGUUGUAAGUUUGACAUAUACUUCCUAGAAUUUUUAUUUUUUAUAACAUCCCUUUUUAAAAAAUUCUCAGUGUUGAUCUGUGAGGCUGAGCUCCCUGAGGAAUAGACUGACCUCCAGCAACUGCUCAUUCCACCCCUAGUAGAAGCUUGAAUAAUGACUGAGUGACAAAGUGUCCCAUUCAGUUAUUAUUCAACUAUAUUAAAUUGCUAAAGUUGGUAAUUGGAGCAUAUCUUAUUACAAAGGCAAAAGUUCAACAUUUUUCCCCAGGCACAAUAGGCUUGUGCAUUUGAAAACUUCUGGUCUGGUAAGGAAUAAGAUGUCAGGGCAUGGAGCAUGCAACAAAUUAAACAGGGAAAAAUAUAUUAACCAGACCCAGGCACAAUUACCAAGCAUUACUUUGAAGAUAUUUACCAGUCUCGAGCUCUUAUAAUAGGGAUGGGAGGGAUAAAGUAGAAGGGGGUCUUGAAAAUAAAUCAGUAUUCCCAAGCUCUAGGAGGUCGACACAAUUGAAAACCUGUCAUUGAAAAUAUACUAGGAGCUGAUAAUAGAAAGUAAAUGCGGGUCAUUUACAACAUACUGUUUAUCCAUCUUGGUUGGUGCUCUUGCCGCAUCAAUUAUUGAAUAUUUUGACAUCUGAUUUUAUUAAAACUCAUUUGGAUCCUUAAUUACAGGUUAUGUAUCAAAAGUAUCAUUUGGGGUCUGACUGAGAUGUCCAGUUUUCUCUAAAAUGGUACUACACGGAAGGAGCAGUUGUACUGAGACAGUAGGAGCUUUGGGUACCUGCUCAAAUGUGGUCACACCAAGUUACUGCUUUGAAGAACAAAAAAUGAAUGCUGUGAGAACUGCAGAGACCACAGCCUAUAGUGGUAUUUCCCUAAUGGGCCUCAUCAGAACACUCAUUUGGCGGCAGUUCUUUAAUAAUUUAGAUUCCUGGGCACCUUCUCUAGAGAUUAUGAUUAGUAGGUCUGCCUGGGGUAGGCCUCUGAAUCAGUAUAUUCGAUAGCAGUCCCAGUGAUUCUUUUGGUAAGGCAAAUUUGGGAAACAACUAUUGACAUUCAUAAUAUUAUCAUCCAUUUAUUCUUUUAAUCAUUGCACAAUCACUAUGGUAUUUUUGAAAGUGUGAGCCUGGCUUCCCCACAUAAAAUCACCCGGGCUGUGUGAUGAAAAUCCUGGUCUAGAACCCCAUCCCAAACCUAUCAGAUAGAUACCCAGAGAUAAAACCCAGAAAUCUGCAUUGUAAAUGAGCAUCCCAAGUGAUUCUUAGGUAAUAAAGUCUGGGAACAUUUGCUGCGUGUGUCAAGCACAUCAUAUGUUUCUUUAAGCUACCCAUUCUUAUUCAACAGGCAACAAACACUCAUUCCUACCUACUAAGGCAGGAAUCAGUGAAUGACUUGCGUAGAGGUGACAUAAAAUGUGAAGGGAGAGUGGCAGCUCUUCCUGCUUUAAACCUGCCAUCCAUAGGCUUAAAACAAAGAAGGGAGGCUGCCCUGCAGACAGAGUGGCCAGGUUUUGUGGGACAUGGGAGAGGCUAGUGAGGCCCACACCCUUUGAGCCUCUGGAGUCUGUGGAUGUGGCCAACAAACGCCUGGCUGGAAAUAGUCAUGAAAAAGCCCCACGACCUCAGGGUCAAGGGCUAGGGCACUGGUGAGAGCUCUCACUCAGAAUUUCCUGCUAGAGUGCUAGCCUGCAGCACAGAAAUAUACUUUACUUUUUCUUCUUUCUUCUCCCAUUUCCUUAGUUUUGUUUGUGGAACAGUAAUGGAGCCUUCCCAGGCAUUGUUUUAUUCUGACACCAUAACAAGGUCUGUUCCCUAGUCACUUUCUCAGUCAGAAGCCUAUGGAGUGUUCAUUGUUCCUGUGGAUUUUUACUUAUGUACAAUUGUGUUUAAAAUAACUCGUUCAAAGUAUGUCUGGAAAAUAAUAAGUAAGUUUAUUUUAAGUAAAUGUUGGCAGGUGAUUUCAAUUCUAAUUUUCUUUGAUUGCUCAUGCGAAUGAAAAUUUA